rnacentral:sRNA from 1 species
AGAGGAUUUGGCUGUAGCAUCUGUCCCCAAAUUAAUCACCAGGGGUGAUUUGGCUGAUCUAAUUGGCUAGACCCCUUUCCUCCCU